rnacentral:lncRNA from 1 species
GGCCUGGCAAAAUUUGGAAUAGUGUUUCUUCUUUAUCUUCUUCUUAAUCUUUUGUACCUCUUCCUGGUGCUUGGUAUCCCUGCAAGCACCUUUUGUCCUAUUUUCUUCUUCCUACUUUCUUCUCCAUCAUGUACAUAUAUUUUUAAUUUAAUCACAGAGGUUUCUGUCCAUGAAAAAAUGCAGAAAGCGAAAAAAGAUAUAUAUAACAGGGAUUUAUUGAUGUACAG